rnacentral:tRNA from 1 species
GCCACGGUGAUGUCAAUGGUAGCAUGGGGGCCUGUGGAGCCCCUCGACCGAGUUCGAGUCUCGGCCGUGGCC